rnacentral:rRNA from 1 species
GGUUAAGUGACUAAGCGUACACGGUGGAUGCCUAGGCAGUCAGAGGCGAUGAAGGACGUGCUAAUCUGCGAAAAGCGCCGGUGAGCUGAUAUGAAGCGUUAUCAGCCGGCGAUGUCCGAAUGGGGAAACCCGGUGCAAUUCGUUGCAUCAUCGUUAAGUGAAUCCAUAGCUUAACGAAGCGAACCAGGGGAACUGAAACAUCUCAGUACCCUGAGGAAAAGAAAUCAACCGAGAUUCCCCCAGUAGCGGCGAGCGAACGGGGAACAGCCCAGAGCCAUCAUCAGCUUGCGCAUCAGGAGAACGGUCUGGAAAGUCCGGCGACAGAGGGUGAUAGCCCCGUAUCCGAAGGUGUGCUUGUUGUGAGCUCGAUGAGUAGGGCGGGACACGUGAUAUCCUGUCUGAAGAUGGGGGGACCAUCCUCCAAGGCUAAAUACUCCUGACUGACCGAUAGUGAACCAGUACCGUGAGGGAAAGGCGAAAAGAACCCCGGCGAGGGGAGUGAAAUAGAACCUGAAACCGUGUACGUACAAGCAGUGGGAGCAUCCUUCGGGGUGUGACUGCGUACCUUUUGUAUAAUGGGUCAGCGACUUAUAUUCUGUAGCAAGGUUAACCGUAUAGGGGAGCCGCAGGGAAACCGAGUCUUAACUGGGCGUCUAGUUGCAGGGUAUAGACCCGAAACCCGGUGAUCUAGCCAUGGGCAGGUUGAAGGUUGGGUAACACUAACUGGAGGACCGAACCGACUAAUGUUGAAAAAUUAGCGGAUGACUUGUGGCUGGGGGUGAAAGGCCAAUCAAACCGGGAGAUAGCUGGUUCUCCCCGAAAGCUAUUUAGGUAGCGCCUCGUGACGUCAUCUACGGGGGUAGAGCACUGUUUCGGCUAGGGGUCCAUCCCGGAUUACCAACCCGAUGCAAACUGCGAAUACCGUAGAAUGUAAUCACGGGAGACACACGGCGGGUGCUAACGUCCGUCGUGAAGAGGGAAACAACCCAGACCGCCAGCUAAGGUCCCAAAGUCAUGGUUAAGUGGGAAACGAUGUGGGAAGGCACAGACAGCCAGGAUGUUGGCUUAGAAGCAGCCAUCAUUUAAAGAAAGCGUAAUAGCUCACUGGUCGAGUCGGCCUGCGCGGAAGAUGUAACGGGGCUAAACCAUGCACCGAAGCUGCGGCAGCGACACGUAAGUGUUGUUGGGUAGGGGAGCGUUCUGUAAGCCUGCGAAGGUGGCCUGUGAGGGCUGCUGGAGGUAUCAGAAGUGCGAAUGCUGACAUAAGUAACGAUAAAGCGGGUGAAAAGCCCGCUCGCCGGAAGACCAAGGGUUCCUGUUCAACGUUAAUCGGAGCAGGGUGAGUCGACCCCUAAGGCGAGGCCGAAAGGCGUAGUCGAUGGGAAACAGGUUAAUAUUCCUGUACUGGGUGUGACUGCGAAGGGGGGACGGAGAAAGCUAGGUUCGCCGGGCGACGGUUGUCCCGGUUCAAGCGUGAAGGUGGAAUGAGCAGGCAAAUCCGCUCAUUCUUAACACUGAGGCGUGAUGACGAGCCACUACGGUGGUGAAGGAAUUGAUGCUACGCUUCCAGGAAAAGCCUCUAAGCUCCAGGUCACAUCGAAUCGUACCCCAAACCGACACAGGUGGUCAGGUAGAGAAUACCCAGGCGCUUGAGAGAACUCGGGUGAAGGAACUAGGCAAAAUGGUGCCGUAACUUCGGGAGAAGGCACGCUGGCAUGUAGGUGGAGGGCCUUGCGCCCCGAGCUGAAGCCAGUCGCAGAUACCAGCUGGCUGCAACUGUUUAUUAAAAACACAGCACUGUGCAAACACGAAAGUGGACGUAUACGGUGUGACGCCUGCCCGGUGCCGGAAGGUUAAUUGAUGGGGUUAUCGCUUGCGAGAAGCUCUUGAUCGAAGCCCCGGUAAACGGCGGCCGUAACUAUAACGGUCCUAAGGUAGCGAAAUUCCUUGUCGGGUAAGUUCCGACCUGCACGAAUGGCGUAAUGAUGGCCAGGCUGUCUCCACCCGAGACUCAGUGAAAUUGAACUCGCCGUGAAGAUGCGGUGUACCCGCGGCAAGACGGAAAGACCCCGUGAACCUUUACUAUAGCUUGACACUGAACAUUGAGCCUUGAUGUGUAGGAUAGGUGGGAGGCUUUGAAGUGUGGACGCCAGUCUGCAUGGAGCCAACCUUGAAAUACCACCCUUUAAUGUUUGAUGUUCUCACUCAGGCCCGUUAUCCGGGCCGAGGACAGUGUCUGGUGGGUAGUUUGACUGGGGCGGUCUCCUCCCAAAGUGUAACGGAGGAGCACGAAGGUUAGCUAAUCACGGUCGGACAUCGUGAGGUUAGUGCAAAGGCAUAAGCUAGCUUGACUGCGAGAGUGACGGCUCGAGCAGGUGCGAAAGCAGGUCUUAGUGAUCCGGUGGUUCUGAAUGGAAGGGCCAUCGCUCAACGGAUAAAAGGUACUCCGGGGAUAACAGGCUGAUACCGCCCAAGAGUUCAUAUCGACGGCGGUGUUUGGCACCUCGAUGUCGGCUCAUCACAUCCUGGGGCUGAAGUAGGUCCCAAGGGUAUGGCUGUUCGCCAUUUAAAGUGGUACGCGAGCUGGGUUUAGAACGUCGUGAGACAGUUCGGUCCCUAUCUGCCGUGGGCGCUGGAAGAUUGAGAGGGGCUGCUCCUAGUACGAGAGGACCGGAGUGGACGCACCACUGGUGUUCGGGUUGUCAUGCCAAUGGCAUUGCCCGGUAGCUACGUGCGGAAGAGAUAACCGCUGAAAGCAUCUAAGCGGGAAACUUGCCUCGAGAUGAGUCUUCCCUGAGGCCUAGAGCCUCCUGAAGGGACGUUAAAGACGAUGACGUUGAUAGGUCGGGUGUGUAAGCGCUGCGAGGCGUUGAGCUAACCGAUACUAAUGACCCGUGAGACUUAACCUU